rnacentral:rRNA from 1 species
AUUCCAGCUCCAAUAGGAUAUAUCAAAGUUGUUGCAGUUAAAAAGCUCGUAGUUGAAUUUCUGGAAGGUAGAAGUGUUUUUUUUAGAGAAGCAAUUUUUUAUGAAAGACACCGCUUUCCAUUUUGUGGAUUUCUGUUUUGUAUGAGAUAGUUUACUCUAUUUUAUAUAAAAUACCACUCCGUCACUGAGAGCAAAUUGGAGUGCUCAAAGCAGGCUUUAUUAGCUUUGAACAUUUUAGCUUGGAAUGGCAAGAUAUGACUUUUGUUUUAUUUUGUUGGUUAUGAAAUAAAAGUAAUGAUUAACAGGAACAGUUGCGGGGGUACUCGUAUUGAAAGGUCAGAGGUGAAAUUCUUGGAUUCUUUCAAGACGAACGACUGCGAAAGCAUUUACCAAGGAUGUUUUCAUUAAUCAAGGACGAAAGCUCGGGGAUCGAAGAUGAUUAGAUACCAUCGUAGUCCGACGCCAUAAACGAUGCCGACUCGGGAUUAUUUUGUUAGUUUAAAUAAAAAAGAACACAAAGUAGCACCGUAUGAGAAAUCAAAGUCUUUGGGUUCCGGGGGGAGUAUGGUCGCAAGGCUGAAACUUAAAGGAAUUGACGGAAGGGCACACCAGAGGUGGAGCCUGCGGUUUAAUUUGACCCAACACGGGGAAACUUACCAGGUCCAGACAUGAUGAGGAUUGACAGUUUGAAAGCACUUUCUUGAUUUCAUGGGUGGUGGUGCAUGGCCGUUCUUAGUUGGUGGAGUGAUUUGUCUGGUUGAUUCCGAUAACGAACGAGACGGGGUGAAUUUACUAGUUUGUUAUAUAAUUUACGUUAUAUAAGACUUCUUUAUUCGACAACUUGGUUUUACCAAGAGGAAGCGCCCCGCAAUAACAGGUCUGUGAUGCCCUUAGAUGUUCUGGGCUACACGCGCGCUACAAUGACGAAUUCAACGAGUUUAAAAUUUAUUCCUUAUCCGGAAGGAUGUGGGUAAUCUUUUCAAUAUUCGUCGUGAUGGGGCUAGAUUUUUGCAAUUAUUAAUCUUCAACGAGGAAUCUCUAGUAUGUGCAAGUCAUCAGCUUGCGCAGAAUGCGUCCCUGCCCCUUGUACACACCGCCCGUCGCACCUACCGAUUGGACGAUCCGGCAAGAUGUUUGGAGUUGUCUUGAUUGUAGAGUAAUUUAUGAUGAAAAUGACAAAGCUCUUCAAACCUUAUCGUCUAGAGGAAGGUGAAGUCGUAACAAGGUCUCCGUAGGUGAACCUGCGGAGG